CCUACGGGUGGCAGCAGUCGAGAAUCUUCGGCAAUGGGCGAAAGCCUGACCGAGCGACGCCGCGUGCGGGAUGAAGGCCCUCGGGUUGUAAACCGCUGUCGUAGAGGAGGAAGUGCAGGGGGGUUCUCCCCUUUGCUUGACCUAUUCUAGGAGGAAGUACGGGCUAAGUUCGUGCCAGCAGCCGCGGUAAGACGAACCGUACAAACGUUACUCGGAAUUACUGGGCUUAAAGGGUGCGUAGGCUGCGCGGAAAGUUGGGUGUGAAAGCCCUCGGCUCAACCGAGGAAUUGCAUCCAAAACUACCGUGCUGGAGGGAGACAGAGGUAAGCGGAACUCAAGGUGGAGCGGUGAAAUGCGUUGAUAUCUUGAGGAACACCGGUGGCGAAAGCGGCUUACUGGGUCUCUUCUGACGCUGAGGCACGAAAGCUAAGGUAGCAAAC
rnacentral:rRNA from 1 species